GGGCCCUUAGCUCAGUCGGUAGAGCAACUGACUUUUAAUCAGUAGGUCGCUGGUUCGAACCCAGCAGGGCUCACCA
rnacentral:tRNA from 264 species